AUGGCUGUCGUCAGCUCGUGUCGUGAGAUGUUGGGUUAAGUCCCGCAACGAGCGCAACCCUCGUUCUUAGUUGCUACCAUUUAGUUGGGCACUCUAAGAAGACUGCCGGUGACAAACCGGAGGAAGGUGGGGAUGACGUCAAGUCAUCAUGGCCCUUAUGGGCUGGGCUACACACGUGCUACAAUGGUAGGGACAAAGGGUCGCUAACCCGCGAGGGGGAGCUAAUCCCAUCAAACCCUAUCUCAGUCCGGAUCGGAGUCUGCAACUCGACUCCGUGAAGUCGGAAUCGCUAGUAAUCGCGAAUCAGCAACGUCGCGGUGAAUACGUUCCCGGGCCUUGUACACACCGCCCGUCACACCAUGGGAGUAGGCUGCACCAGAAGUAGGUAGACUAACCGCAAGGAGGUCGCUUACCACGGUGUGGUCUAUGACUGGGGUGAAGUCGUAACAAGGUAGCCGUAGGGGAACCUGCGGCUGGAUCACCUCCUUUAAGACAUGUAUUUUUGACGCGAGUAUCCUCACAAGUCUGUUCUAAUAAAAUAACCAUUGUUUACCUAUUUUGUAAACUCUCACUACCAGACUGAGAAAUAUAUCCGAACUACAGUUUGGGUCUGUAGCUCAGUUGGUUAGAGCGCACCCCUGAUAAGGGUGAGGUCGGUGGUUCGAAUCCACCCAGACCCACCAAUUUAUAGGUAAAGAAAUUGGGGCCAUAGCUCAGCUGGUAGAGCGCCUGCCUUGCACGCAGGAGGCCGGCGGUUCGACCCCGCCUGGCUCCACCAAAAAUAGGUAAACAAUAGGUUUUAGAUAUUAAAUUUAUAUUAAUAUCGGUAUAAAAAAAUUUAGAAAACAAUGCAUCUCAAGAUUAAAAUAUCUAACGAUAUUUUUUUUAGCGAUUUAAAAAUCAUAUAAGAAAGUUUUUUUUUCUUAUCAAGUAAGCUGUAAAACUUUAAAUUGAUAUUUAAAUUUUUUAAAUAUCAGUAUAUUUGGAGUUAUAUAGUCAAAUUAUUAAGUGCACAUAAUGGAUGCCUAGGCAGUAGAAGGCGAUGAAGGACGUAGUAGUCUGCGAUAAGCUUCGGCGAGCUGACAAACAAGCUUUGACCCGGAGAUUUCCGAAUGGGGAAACCCGG
rnacentral:sRNA from 1 species